rnacentral:rRNA from 1 species
GAUGAUCGCUGGCGGCGUGCCUAAUACAUGCAAGUCGAGCGAACAGAUGAGGAGCUUGCUCCUCUGACGUUAGCGGCGGACGGGUGAGUAACACGUGGAUAACCUACCUAUAAGACUGGGAUAACUUCGGGAAACCGGAGCUAAUACCGGAUAAUAUAUUGAACCGCAUGGUUCAAUAGUGAAAGACGGGUUUGCUGUCACUUAUAGAUGGAUCCGCGCCGCAUUAGCUAGUUGGUAAGGUAACGGCUUACCAAGGCAACGAUGCGUAGCCGACCUGAGAGGGUGAUCGGCCACACUGGAACUGAGACACGGUCCAGACUCCUACGGGAGGCAGCAGUAGGGAAUCUUCCGCAAUGGGCGAAAGCCUGACGGAGCAACGCCGCGUGAGUGAUGAAGGUCUUCGGAUCGUAAAACUCUGUUAUUAGGGAAGAACAAAUGUGUAAGUAACUAUGCACGUCUUGACGGUACCUAAUCAGAAAGCCACGGCUAACUACGUG